rnacentral:rRNA from 1 species
GGGUACUUGUACCUGGUGGCGAGCGGCGGACGGGUGAGUAAUGCCUAGGAAUCUGCCUGGUAGUGGGGGAUAACGCUCGGAAACGGACGCUAAUACCGCAUACGUCCUACGGGAGAAAGCAGGGGACCUUCGGGCCUUGCGCUAUCAGAUGAGCCUAGGUCGGAUUAGCUAGUUGGUGAGGUAAUGGCUCACCAAGGCGACGAUCCGUAACUGGUCUGAGAGGAUGAUCAGUCACACUGGAACUGAGACACGGUCCAGACUCCUACGGGAGGCAGCAGUGGGGAAUAUUGGACAAUGGGCGAAAGCCUGAUCCAGCCAUGCCGCGUGUGUGAAGAAGGUCUUCGGAUUGUAAAGCACUUUAAGUUGGGAGGAAGGGCAGUUACCUAAUACGUGAUUGUUUUGACGUUACCGACAGAAUAAGCACCGGCUAACUCUGUGCCAGCAGCCGCGGUAAUAUAGAGGGUGCAAGCGUUAAUCGGAAUUACUGGGCGUAAAGCGCGCGUAGGUGGUUUGUUAAGUUGAAUGUGAAAUCCCCGGGCUCAACCUGGGAACUGCAUCCAAAACUGGCAAGCUAGAGUAUGGUAGAGGGUGGUGGAAUUUCCUGUGUAGCGGUGAAAUGCGUAGAUAUAGGA